rnacentral:tRNA from 1 species
AGGGUAAUAGCUCAGUGGUAGAGCACAUGCUUAGCACAUUUGAGGUCCUGGGUUCAAUCCCCAGUACCUCCU